rnacentral:rRNA from 1 species
AUGCACGGCGCCGAUCGUCUAUCCGGCCUCUCUGAUGACCUAAUCGCCUCCAUCAUCUCGUUUCUUUCAGCCAGGGAGGCCGCCCGCACCUCGGCCCUCUCGCGGCGAUGGCGCCCGAUCUGGUUAGGCACCGACUCCCUCAACCUGGACUCAAGGUCCUACGGCGACCUGGGCAAAGACCACUCCUCGCACCACGACGGCGGCGGCCUGGCCGGCAUUAAGAUGAACUACCGGCUUUUCUCCGACGCCUGUAAGUUUCUCGGCACAGCCGGGCGGUGCGGCCGCAUUAAGAAGCUCUCUCUGACCGUCGAGGGAUGCGGGAACGAGUACUUCGAGGAUGUCAUGGGCAACUCCGCGUGGGGAACGAGCAGCGACAUCUACGACCUGAUGACCUACCUCCUCGGCGCCCCGCCGCUGCGGCAUAUAGAGGAGCUCAGCGUCAGGUUUGAGGUCAUUAUCCAGAUGAGGCUAGGGCAGGAGAAGCUUACGCGCUGUAUAUACAAGCUGGACCCUGCCGUGCUGCCGAGACACACCCUCCGCGUGCUGGACCUCGACUUCUGCAGGCUCGAGUCGCCAGCACAGGGCGGCGCCGGCGUCUCCUUCCCUUGCCUCACCGCGCUGCGGCUUUACAGGUGCUCGUCGCUGAUGCAGGAUCUCGAGGGCUUGGUCCGUGCCGCCGCGCCAAGGCUCCGCAGCAUGCACAUCCAAGACCACAGGUUCUACGGCCCGCCCGGCUCCCGCAGCGACCGCUUCAAGCUCCACUCCCCAAGCCUCACCGACCUCACGCUAGUGGACACCUCCGGCAGCAUCUGUCUACAAGGCACAGAGCUCGACACGCCAUGCCUGCGCACCUUCAAGUACAACACCUUCAUCUUUACGGGGCUCUGGAUGAAGUCGCAGCCGACCAAACUGGCACGAGUCGAUUUGACCCUCCAAUGGAUUAUUAGGACGUACGGUGAUAAUAGAAGUCAGCUAGUCCUACCACGCUCUGCCCAAGUCUGGCAAUUCCUUGGACACUUUCGGCACGUCAAGGCCAUCCGGUUCAAGGUGCAAAAAAUCUGGUGCAUCGCCGUGAAUGAGGACGCGCAGCAUGAGCACCUCGUCAUGCUACCCGGUCUAGAACGGCUAGAGCUAGAAGGGUUCGCCGACCCAGACCCUCGUCAUGCUACCGCUAUUGCCAAUUUGCUCCAUUGCUGCCCGGUGCUCCGCGACUUGCGGAUUCGGAUUCUUAGAGACCCCUACCAAACUUCAUACGACGGCGAGAGUAACGUGGCAUCCUCAUCAUCGGACUUUGACGUGUCCAUGGACUUGUUCCGGAGGCGCUUCUCCAAGGAGAUGGUCCCUCUCAUGCUCGACCGGGAUGAUGAUGGUUCCUCGCGAGUUGCGGAGCUCCCUGGUUUGACCGGUUGCCGGUUUAAUUGCUUGGAGAAUCAUUUGAAAAAGGUGACGUUGCGGUUUGAUCAGUUGAAGGAGUUGGAUAGCUUUGAGGUUCGCCUCGCCAAAUUCUUUGCGGAGAAUUGUAUGGGGCUUGAGGCCUUGCAAAUCGAUGAUGGAAAGCAUAACUUUUUAAGCCAUAUCAAUUGGAUGGUGCAGAAAUGGAGAACUGACGCUUUGGAACAAAGGAAACAAAUAAUAGGACGGGAGUCAGCUGACUCGUCGAAACAAUUCAGAAAAAGGAAAGGCGAUACCGCUGUGGAACACAAAGUAGAAACCAAACGAAAUUAUAGGAAGCAAACGUAG